AUUCUUAAAGUACCCUUGAUAUCAAAUUUUACUUUUUUCCUUUCUUUCACUUCCUUCCUUCGAAGUGCUUUUCUUCUGUUCUCCUUCCUCACCCUUCCCCAUAAAACCCCAGAGCCGGCUCCUCUCUUCUUCUUCCUAGAGCCGGCUUUUCUCUUCUCCUUCCUCACACUUCCCCCAAAAAACCCAGAGCCGGCUCCUCUCUUCUCCUUCCAAGUAGUCUCGAUGCUUUAUUUGGGUGUUUAUGUAUGAGUCAUGAUCUCUGUAAAUUUUUUUUUUUGUAUCUCACUUGCCUUAGAAGUAAUGUCCGACCAAAUAAGAAAUUCUUAGGAAACCACGAAACUGUAAGAAUUACUUGUUAUGCUACAUAUUGGUGGCAGUAUAAUAUGUACUUCAUGUAUUAUAUACCAGGUAGAUUGGGAACAAGCAAGCAUGAUCGAGGCAGAGCGUUUAUUGCUUACGCAUGCACUUGAGGAUACUUAUAAUCAACGCUUUGUUUUUCUUUCUGACAGGGCCUGAUUAUUCCUCUCACUAUUACCUGUUUUAUAUGUGACGAUCCUGCAGAGAAGGUCACUGCUUGAGUUUUGGCGGGAUCGACCCCUUUCAGCUAAUGCAUCCAAGGAGCAUAAUUGUAUACCAGAUGAACAUUUCGUUCAAACAUUACCGACAGUAUAUUAUAGCACCAUCUAACAGUUAUCGGCCUUUUAUGUGCUGAUAGAAAAUUGAACUUGGUUUUUGUAGAAGUAUGUGAAAGAAUGAACUAUUCCAUUAUGGAAGUUGAUAAAAUUAUUUCUUUUAUCCUUUGAAUUUGAAAAAUCAAGUUUCUUAUCAUAUGAUAAAUUAGUUUUUCUCA